CAAUAGCGUAUAUUAAAGUUGUUGCAGUUAAAAAGCUCGUAGUUGGAUUUCUGGUGGGAGCGAUCGGUCUGGCGCUUAGCGCGAGUACUUGCAUCGUCUCCGGCCAUCCUUGGGGAGAGUCUGUCUGGCAUUAAGUUGUCGGGCAGAGGAUCCUCAUCGUUUACUGUGAAAAAAUUAGAGUGUUCAAAGCAGGCUUAUGCCGUUGAAUAUAUUAGCAUGGAAUAAUAAGAUAGGACUUUGGUACUAUUUUGUUGGUUUGCGCACCAAAGUAAUGAUUAAUAGGGACAGUUGGGGGUAUUCGUAUUCCGUUGUCAGAGGUGAAAUUCUUGGAUCUACGGAAGACGAACUACUGCGAAAGCAUUUACCAAGGAUGUUUUCAUUAA
rnacentral:rRNA from 1 species